AUACUACUCCCUCCGUCCGAAAAUACUUAUCGGAGAGAUGGAUGUAUAUAGACGUAUUUUUAUUCUAGAUGCAUCCAUUUUCAUCCAUUUCUACGACAAGUAUUUCCGGACGGAGGGAGUACUCC
rnacentral:pre_miRNA from 1 species